ACGAGCCCACCGGGAGGAACGAACAACCCCAGACGCGCGGCCUUAAGAGCUGUAACACUCACCGCGAAGGUCUGCAGCUUCACUCCUGAGCCAGCGAGACCACGAACCCACCAGAAGGAAGAAACUCCGAACACAUCUGAACAUCAGAAGGGACAGACUCCAGACGCGCCACCUUAAGAGCUGUAACACUCACGGCGAGGGUCCGCGGCUUCAUUCUUGAAGUCAGUGAGACCAAGAACCCACCAAUUCUGGACACACAAUGAGAUAAUAACAUAAGUUUGAAAACUGCAAUUGGGCCUACUAAGGAACCAUGAUAGUGUUUGGUACAUAGAGGACACUGGAAAUGGUUUUCUUAACUGAACAAGUGACUAGAAUAAAGGAAUUAAUGAACGACAUCAGAGCUGAAAUCCCAAACCAUAAAUCAUAAAAGGAUCAGACAGCAAAGAGUACUCAAAAGCUGAUUUAUUGAGAUCCUGAUGAGUUUGAAGUAACUAGAAACUUGAUCAAGAUUAUUAUACAUUGCACUGUUCUUGCUGAUACUCCAAAGACAUGUAGAAAAUAGAAAGGUAAGUUUGCAGGAGGAAAAAAGAACAAUGGAAUGAAGAAGCAAACAGGGAGUUAAAAUAACUCCUUGGAAUAGUAGAAUCAGGAAAGCAAAGGUAAAGCAUUAAAGUCUAAGGGCUGCAUGACUCCUAAGGGGAAAAUGCAUGUAUUUCUUUUAUUUUGCACUGAGAUUAAAUUUGCUGAUUUUUUUUCAUACUGUGUGUUCUUUCGCUCCCAAUCCUCACAUAAAAUAUUUCAGGGUGACCAACUGCUCUUUUGUGUUACAUUUUAAACAGGUAGAUGACUUUCACAUGUAGGCAAAGUUGAUUCUAGGAAUUAUUGUGAGGUAAGAGAAAUGUGUUUGAGACAAGGUGUGGUCUCUUCUUCUUAAGUUUUCCUCUCUGCAUGUUUUUA
rnacentral:lncRNA from 10 species